rnacentral:rRNA from 1 species
AACGCGAAGAACCUUACCAAGGCUUGACAUCCUCUUGACCGGUGUAGAGAUACACCUUCUCUUCGGAGCAAGAGAGACAGGUGGUGCAUGGUUGUCGUCAGCUCGUGUCGUGAGAUGUUGGGUUAAGUCCCGCAACGAGCGCAACCCUUGCCUUUAGUAGCCAGCAGGUGAAGCUGGGCACACUAGAGGGACUGCCGUGGAUAACACGGAGGAAGGCGGGGAUGACGUCAAAUCAUCAUGCCCCUUAUGUCUUGGGCAACACACGUGCUACAAUGGCCCAUACAAAGUGAAGCAAGACAGUGAUGUGGAGCAAAACACAAAAGUGGGCCUUAGUUCGGAUUGUAGUCUGCAACCCGACUACAUGAAGUUGGAAUCGCUAGUAAUCGCGAAUCAGCAUGUCGCGGUGAAUACGUUCCCGGGCCUUGUACACACCGUACGUC